GACGAACCGAGCGAACGUUGUUCGGAAUCACUGGGCUUAAAGGGCGCGUAGGCGGCUUGCCAAGUCAGGGGUGAAAUCCUGCAGCUUAACUGUAGAAGGGCCUUUGAUACUGGCGAGCUCGAGGGAGGUAGGGGUAUGUGGAACUUCCGGUGGAGCGGUGAAAUGCGUUGAUAUCGGAAGGAACGCCGGUGGCGAAAGCGACGUACUGGACCUCUUCUGACGCUGAGGCGCGAAAGCUAGGGGAGCAAACAGG
rnacentral:rRNA from 1 species